rnacentral:SRP_RNA from 1 species
GGUCGGGUCCCAUGCGACAACAAUUGGAAGAACCCCGUCAGGUCCGGAAGGAAGCAGCGGCAUUCACAAUGGUUGUGUGCUGUGGGGUGCCUGACCUUU